CAUGGUACUAUGCCCAGAAUCCUCAACAUUCACUUUCUCAGUUUCUGUCUUUCUUCUUGUUCUAGGUACUCAGCACAGAAACCCUGCACUCAAUGACCCAGAUUGCCAUUGGCUUCUGCAUGGCACACCCACCUCAUACCUUUUCUCAGAUAAAUCAGUCUUUGUUAUACAGUUCUUUGCCAUCUCUAGCUGAUAUAUCCAAGCACACCACCUCUGUGCAAUUACACAAGCCACUGCUCUUGCCACUUCUCUCUCCAGGGAACUAACUGCUUGUCCAUCCCUGUUUUAACUUCUGGAAUGAUAAACUGAUUGGUCUGGUGUGGCUUCUGGUUUGCUGCCCCUCCGACACCUCUAGCCAGUCCUCCUAAUUAUCAUCCAGGUCCUUCUGUCUGGCCCUCUGCUCAGUCUUGCUGCUCAGGUCUGCUGCCGAGCAUGCUGGGGAGACCGCUGUGCUUCUGUGGGACACUCCAUGCACCCCAGCAUCACUGCAAUCACAAGCCCCUGCUACCUAGAGGUUGUCUAACUGAUGAAGGAGGUACCCAAUGGAAGCUAAUUUGUUUCAGAACACCUCUACAUCAAUGGAAUUAAGGAUGCUGGUUUCAGUCCUGGUCACUCCCAGCAGCGUGUCUGCCGAUCAUUGGCUUUGUUGACUAUUGAGACUGUUGGUGGGCUUGUAAAAGGUCUGCCUCUUAACCCAGGCCAGCCACUCAAUGUUUAGUGGAACAAUGUAAUUAGCACACUGUGGGUAUUGCUGGAUAACACUGUGUGAUUUUAAAUUGAUGAUAACAAUCCACAAAGACUGAUUUGGCUAUACUUGUUAAUAAAGAUUUACUUAUGUCUUGUUUAAUAACAAAA